AUUGAACGCUGGCGGCAGGCCUAACACAUGCAAGUCGAGCGGAUGAAGGGAGCUUGCUCCUGGAUUCAGCGGCGGACGGGUGAGUAAUGCCUAGGAAUCUGCCUGGUAGUGGGGGAUAACGUCCGGAAACGGGCGCUAAUACCGCAUACGUCCUGAGGGAGAAAGUGGGGGAUCUUCGGACCUCACGCUAUCAGAUGAGCCUAGGUCGGAUUAGCUAGUUGGUGGGGUAAAGGCCUACCAAGGCGACGAUCCGUAACUGGUCUGAGAGGAUGAUCAGUCACACUGGAACUGAAACACGGUCCAGACUCCUACGGGAGGCAGCAGUGGGGAAUAUUGGACAGUGGGCGAAAGCCUGAUCCAGCCAUGCCGCGUGUGUGAAGAAGGUCUUCGGAUUGUAAAGCACUUUAAGUUGGGAGGAAGGGCAGUAAGUUAAUACCUUGCUGUUUUGACGUUACCAACAGAAUAAGCACCGGCUAACUUCGUG
rnacentral:rRNA from 1 species